UCCUACUAAAACUAAAAAAAAUUAAAACCCACCACCUCUCUCUGUCUCCACAUGCAUUAAGCCAAUAUAAAUAGAGAUCCCUAAGGGCUUUGAGAUUAAGGCCCAUUUUCAGGUUGAUUAGGGACUGUUAAUGAGCAGAUUUUCAAGUUUUUGUGAUUUGAAUAUUUUGCUCAAGAUCGCGCAGUUCGGUCAUAUACAUUGCAUCAAGGUCCUUGUCUAUCUUUACGCAAGACAUUACCAUUGGUUUGAUGAUGAAGAGAAGGAAAUUAAGGGAACAGGGAGAAUGGUUUUCUGAUGAAGAAGAAGAAAAAUGAUAGACUUGUACCUCGAUGCGCUGUUCAUGGUUAAACGCGUGAUCUUGUGCAGAAUACGCUUCUUCAUUACCUCAAUCCAAAAUUCAUUUUUCUUUGUUUUUCUCUCUCUCUAUCUUUUAUUUAUCUCUGUUUCAGUUUUUAAAAGGUUGAUAAAAAACCACAGGCGUUUGCGGGGAUGUGAAGCGCAGGUGCCUCUUCUUUCUCAGUUCUUAUGCUUGGAUGACACAUAAAGUGUUUUCCUUUUCUAUCUAAAAAAAGGGAAAUUUAAAUAAUUACCGUUGCUAAAACUAAGUUUUAGUCUUGUGGAUGAUUUACUGUAUUAUGUUAUUUUUAUCUGGUGCUCUCAUAAGGAAUGUUGAGUUCAUGUUUUUCCUUCGGGUAGAUCUGUCGGGAUUGCAGGCCCUUACCCAUUUUAGUUUGGCAAGGCUCAAUUUUCUCUAUUUGGAGCUUAGGUAGCACUACCACCAUUAUGCCAGCACCAUUCUUACAUUAAGUUCAUGUUAGCGAUACUUAGGCUGUUUGGCGGUUGCGCUGACAUGUCUGCACAAUCUGGAUGUUGCAGAUUGCAUUGGAAACAAUCGAUUGGUAGUCCCCGUCCCCUCGGCGCUCUAUUUCUCUCUCUAAAAUGGUGUCUCUCCCUCUUUCUCUCUCAUCAUUUUCCUCUCUCUAAGGAGACAUCUUUCUAUCUUGCUCCCUCUUGUUUCUCUCUUUAUUUUCUCCCAUCUCCAAAAAGACAUAUAUGCAGCUAUAGAGAGAGAAAGAGGUUCUGAGUUUACUGGUGCAGCAGCCAUUUUUAUGGAGUAUGAAUAUCCAAGGGAUUCACUCUAACAAGUGUGGCCCCUGAAGUACCAAAACCCUACUCUUAUUAAUCAAACAAAAAUCUUAUUAAUCAAACAAGAAUCUUGUUUUGUAAGCUUUUGUAACUAAUGUCAGGCUUUUAGCUUUUCAUUUGUAACCAUCGUCACUUUUAUUUUACUUUUUUAUACGAACAAUGCUACGGAUGAAUCAUUUUCAUCAAAUUAUAUUAGAAUGUAUGUGUGUAUUUGGGAAAUCAUGGCUUAAUAACAAUAAUAUUGCAAAAUGACAACACCUUGUAGUGUUUUUUUUUAAUUUAUUAUUUAUUAAUUUUUAUUUUUUAGAGAUCAUAAUUGCUCUUAGCGACUAGAUCUUUUUUUUGAGCUUUAAUUGUAAUCAAUAACUCACAAUUACCUGAUUUGAAAUAUGACAGACCUAGAUGGCCUCUUCGUAUACCUUUUCAAAACAUUAUGUGGUCUUCAUAAAUAAGUACAAGCAAAUUUGGCAAUUAUUGCAGCCAAGACGGCAUUAGGCAAAGAGCCUUUUACCUCUAUAGGCUCAAAGGUUCAAGUCUAAACCUAAUUUAAGGUGGCUAAUUCGAUUGUAUACCACUAAAGAUGUCUCAAAUUCUUAAAGGCCAGCAUUUGUACAAUACCUAUAAUUCCCUUCUCUACUUAUGGUUUCCAUUGUAAAUUCAAGAGCUUGAUUUAUCUGCAUCCUGCUUUAUUUAUUUGUUUUUUUUCUAAAAAAUAGGAGCUUGAGUUCUUCCUCUCCACUGCUAAGAGAUUACCAGGCUGAAUAAUCAUGGAGUCACCUGCAAUCCGGUCAUGGUUUCGCAAGUCUUUUUAGCCAUUUUCAGAGCUAUCCGGUCAUGGUUUCGCAAGUCUUUUUAGCCAUUUUCAGAGCUGGUUUGGUCUUUUAGAAAUCACCAUGGAUGCUUGUGACUCCUAUUAAGUGAAGUUGAGAUGGGUAUUACACAACAAUUGAGAAUUCGACCUUGGGUAUCAUUGAGCAUCUCAUCUUUUAUCUGUGAUACACAUACAUAGAGACAUAAAAAUUCAUAUGUAUACAAGAAAAUAAGUGGAUUUAGCAAGACCGAAGGCCCUCUGUAUGCGAAGAAAGUACCUUGUAUAUUUCCUUUCAAACUGCUACUAAUUGUAAUCAAGUAAACAUGGGUGUUUUGUCGAUCGUUAUCAAAUAUUGAGGAUAUAUAUUGACUUUAUUGAGUUUCUUA